UUUUGGAGAGAUUUGUCUGGUUGAUUCCGAUAACGAACGAGACUCUAGCCUAUUAAAUAGUUCGCCGGUCCUUCGAUGUGCCGGCGUAACUUCUUAGAGGGACGAGUGGCUUUUAGCCACACGAGAUUGAGCAAUAACAGGUCUGUGAUGCCCUUAGAUGUCCGGGGCCGCACGCGCGCUACACUGAAGGAAUCAGCGUGGAUACCCCCCUGACCCGAAAGGGUUGGGAAACCCGUUGAAUCUCCUUCGUGCUAGGGAUUGGGGCUUGUAAUUCUUCCCCAUGAACGAGGAAUUCCCAGUAAGCGCGAGUCAUAAGCUCGCGUUGAUUACGUCCCUGCCCUUUGUACACACCGCCCGUCGCUACUAUCGAUUGAGCGGUUCAGUGAGGGCCUCGGAUUGGUCUCGGUCUGGCGUGCAAGCGCCGGCACCGUUGGCCGAGAAGACGCUCGAACUCGAUCGCUUGGAGAAAGUAAAAGUCGUAACAAGGUUUCCGUAGGU
rnacentral:rRNA from 1 species